rnacentral:rRNA from 1 species
GUGGGGAAUAUUGGACAAUGGGCGAAAGCCUGAUCCAGCCAUGCCGCGUGUGUGAAGAAGGUCUUCGGAUUGUAAAGCACUUUAAGUUGGGAGGAAGGGUAGUAACCUAAUACGUUGCUACUUUGACGUUACCGACAGAAUAAGCACCGGCUAACUUCGUGCCAGCAGCCGCGGUAAUACGAAGGGUGCAAGCGUUAAUUGGAAUUACUGGGCGUAAAGCGCGCGUAGGUGGUUCAGUAAGUUGGAAGUGAAAUCCCCGGGCUCAACCUGGGAACUGCCUCCAAAACUGCAUGACUAGAGUACGGUAGAGGGUAGUGGAAUUUCCUGUGUAGCGGUGAAAUGCGUAGAUAUAGGAAGGAACACCAGUGGCGAAGGCGACUACCUGGACUGAUACUGACACUGAGGUGCGAAAGCGUGGGGAGCAAACAGGAUUAGAAACCCCAGUAGUCC